rnacentral:rRNA from 1 species
AUUGAACGCUGGCGGCAGGCUUAACACAUGCAAGUCGAGCGGGGUGAUGGUGCUUGCACUAUCACUUAGCGGCGGACGGGUGAGUAAUGCUUAGGAAUCUGCCUAUUGGUGGGGGACAACAUCUCGAAAGGGAUGCUAAUACCGCAUACGUCCUACGGGAGAAAGCAGGGGAUCACUUGUGACCUUGCGCUAAUAGAUGAGCCUAAGUCGGAUUAGCUAGUUGGUGGGGUAAAGGCCUACCAAGGCGACGAUCUAUAGCGGGUCUGAGAGGAUGGUCCGCCACGCUGGGACUGAGACACGGCCCAGACUCCUACGGGAGGCAGCAGUGGGGAAUAUUGGACAAUGGGGGGAACCCUGAUCCAGCCAUGCCGCGUGUGUGAAGAAGGCCUUAUGGUUGUAAAGCACUUUAAGCGAGGAGGAGGCUCUUUUGGUUAAUACCCAAGAUGAGUGGACGUUACUCGCAGAAUAAGCACCGGCUAACUCUGUGCCAGCCGCCGCCGUAA